UCAAUGAUGGCCGUUAAAUUCAACGAAAUGGCGGGAAACCCAUCACAAAACCCUAAACCGUUCGAGCUCUUUCAAAUACCGAAUCUCUCUGUCUCUGCGCCAAUUUGACCUUCAGCAAUUCUACUUUUUCUUUCAAUUUUCAGCGAUUAGGUGUCACCGCGCUAUUAAUUUCACCGGAAGAUGCGAACUUAGCUCCGAUCAGCGUCGACCGGAUGGCGAUAUGGGUCGAACGAGGUCCGAGGAGCGUUGAUCUGAGUGGCCGCUUGAUCUAUUAAUCAACAAGGUAUUUUCUCUGAAUGAUUGUGCUUUUUGCUGUUCUAGGCUCCUCCUUUUUGGAAACAAGAAAAUCCUCUUUGCUUAUUGUCCUCUAUGGAGCUUCAAGAUGAUGAGAUAGAGAUCUAGAGAAUCUGGUUUCUUGCUUGGAAAAUAUUUUGAAUGAACUUAUUUUGAAAACCCAGAUGGGUAAAUUUGUGAAUUUUGGAAAUUAUUAGAUAGAGAUUUUGUUGUUUGCUCACUGUUCUGUAUGGAGGUUGUAUGUGUUGUUUUGUGAUAGAGAUUUUAGGAUUACCUUGUUGCUUGAAUUGCAGAUACUGUCAUUAAUGGACAUACUUUGAAAACCCAGAAGGGGAGAUUUGUGUA